rnacentral:lncRNA from 1 species
AGUUUUGACUCUUUUCAGGCCAGCUCAGCUCUCCAGCACUGCCCUGACCUGGAGAGAGGAGCACAAUUCCCCAGAGCUGCCCAGCUCAGGGUAAAACUCCUUUUUCUGUCUGCUCUGGUGCUGCUCUGGGUUCUGUGAGGUGACAGCAGUCCCUGCCUGAGCAUUUCCACAGCCCCAGGUACACUGGAAAUCCAGCCCCACUUUGGUAGUUCUGUAAUACAAAUUAAUAACAAUAACUAGACUUGACUGCUUGACAAAAAGCAAAUAGUUCGGAAAAAGCUGUCUUAAAUCUUUCUGUCCCACUUCCCCAGACCAAAAAAAAAUCUCUAAAUGUUAUUUCUUUUGGCAGCUGAAAUCUAAUCCUACCUUGGUUAACAUAACAGAGAGAACAGGAAGCGCUGUGAAGGAAUUUUUCAUUCCCUGGGACGUCUUUGAUCCCGCUCCCCUCCCUUUUCCUAUCAGGGAUGAAAAACUGCCCUGCAUUGAGACUUCGCUGUUGUGUAAGCAGGAACCUGAGAACUCCAGAAUCCAGGAGGGAAUCCGACUAAAAUUCACAAUUUUUUGGUGGAAAACCAAUCAUGGCUUUCCUUCAGCACAGGCAAGGGGCAUUCAAACACUGCAGCAACCCCAAACAAAGCCUUCAAGCAUUUUCUCCUGCACUUUUUGUCACUCAGUUUGACUUCCUGACAUACAGAGGGAAUUUUCUUUCACCAUUCUCCAUCUUGGCUUGUGCCCACCUAAAAUUUGCAAAUUUUCCAAAGAAAUGAAUGUCUGAUUAAUAUUUGGGGUUCUGGAGGAAUGUGUCCAGCCUUUUUCCAGUCCCACGUGGAAUGCAAGGCUGCAUCUCUGCUUUGGGCCAUAAAACAAGUCAUAAUUAAAAUAUUUAUGAUCCUGAAAGAGCUGGAUUACCACAGAGCAGCCUCCUGCUCAUAGCCAGGACAAGUCUGGAGGAGAAAACAUAAAAAUCAUAAAAAUGACACCAAGAUCAUCUCAGAGCAGCACCACAGCCCCUCUGCCUGCAGAGGGGUAAAACACACCUCCAAAACAACGCAAUAUUUCUGUGGAAAUGUUGUACCUUUAUUUAUCCUUUUUCUACUCUUCAUCCACACUUUUGCUGUUACAGUUCCACUUAUCCCACAGAUCACCAGGAAUUAAAAUUUCAUCCUCAACUCUCCUCCUCUCUUCAUGUUAAAGGGUUUGUUUGCCAUCCCCUAAGGAUCAUUCUCUCCCACUCCCACCAGCUCCUGGGGUUUUUAAGGCUGUGAGGGAAGGGGAGAUCAGAAGAAAGAGGUGUCAGCUUUUUUGUUGUUUUUAAGUGAAGGAAUAAGCUUGGGAAACGCAGUCCCUGCCUCUGUAUCCAGCACCUCUAGGACCAUCAGAUCCUUCUGGCGCACAGCAGGAAGGUCCUGCAGCUCCCAGUGCUCCCUGGGAUCUUGAAAAUAUCCUUUCUGUCAUUCUGGGAUUUAAGACAGCACAACUGACAGGAAAAAGAAGUUUAGGAAGUCAUUGGGAAAAACAAAAAUCAUUGGUGUGGUUCUGCAGGUUACUAAGACUUAAUGAUCUGUUAUUUCCAGUUUAAUCUUUGUGCUUUCUUAUGGAAGCAGACUAUUUUGAGGUGAGAGUUCUUCAUUAAAUUAAAACAAAAAAUAAAAAAAAACCAAAAAAAAAAAAAAAAACCCA